GACGAACGCUGGCGGCGUGCUUAACACAUGCAAGUCGAACGGAAAGGCCCUGCUUUUGUGGGGUGCUCGAGUGGCGAACGGGUGAGUAACACGUGAGUAACCUGCCCUUGACUUUGGGAUAACUUCAGGAAACUGGGGCUAAUACCGGAUAGGAGCUCCUGCUGCAUGGUGGGGGUUGGAAAGUUUCGGCGGGUGGGGAUGGACUCGCGGCUUAUCAGCUUGCUGGUGGGGUAGUGGCUUACCAAGGCUUUGACGGGUCGCCGGCCUGGGAGGGUGGCCGGCGACAUGGGGACUGCGGGACGGCCCAGACGGCUACGGGAGGCAGCAGUGGGGAAUAUGGCACAGUGGGAGGGAGCCGGAGGCGGCAGCGCUGGGUGCGGGAUGACGGCCUGCGGGUUGUAAACCGCUGUCGCCUGUGACGAAGCGUGAGUGACGGUAAUGGGUAAAGAAGCACCGGCUAACUACGUG
rnacentral:rRNA from 1 species